GGAAGGGGUCUGAAUACUUUCCGAAUGCACUGUAUUCACGAUUUUAAAUCAUGUAAAACACUAGUGUGCUCUAAAUGCUUUGCCGAGGGCAGCCGGAUGAGGACCCUGACAGGGCUGUUUUUGUGUAGUAACGUUAGACAAUUCCAGGAGGCCUCUUAGACCUAUAACGUUAUUGGAAGUUAAAUUGAGCUGCUAGUUUAAAAUGCUAAUGAUUACAAAAUUACACUAUCAUUAUAGUUACAUUUGCUUUCCCUUUUUACAGUGCCCCUGUCAAUGCUGAAAAGAUAGACAGAUGAGCCCACUGCGGAGUUAGUUGGUGAUCCAUGAAAAUACAAGUUUACAAAUAUCCUGACAGCUUAUCUUCAGUUCCAACCAGGUUGCAGAGCUGCUAUUCCCAAAGCAUGAUUACACAGAAGCCCCUGCCUACGGAAGAGCCGCUGGAGGCAGCGCGUGAUGAAAUAGAUUGACUGGCAAAGGAGAAUGACUCACUAAGUCAUCGGUUUAGUUUCCAGUGUGAUCCCAGGUUCAUCAUGUUGUACACUGGGGUAAAAGACUGACACCCUGAAAGCUGAUUACCAGGCUUAGAAGACAUAUUUAAUAGCAGGAUCCCCCUGACACUCGCCAGUUCAGUUAACCAGCUGUGGUUUGUACAUGCUGUACUCAACUUUCCAAGCGCUACUGUUUUUAAGAACUCUUAUCUUGUGGCCCUACUUCCACUAUAUGGGAAUGAAUGAAUAAUUGUUUAUUGUAAGCAUUUAUCCAUUUGUCUAACCCUCAAUGUACAGAGGUAAGGGAAAACCCUGUAUUUCUGUGAUGUACAAUAGAUUGUAMAUUCUACCUGAGAAGAAUACCAUGACAAAUGCUUUUCAAACAUGACUAUUUAAUUAUCAAAA